GCCCGGGUGGCGGAAUGGCAGACGCGGUGGACUCAAAAUCCACUGUCCGAGAGGGCGUGCGGGUUCGAAUCCCGCCCCGGGCACCA
rnacentral:tRNA from 1 species